rnacentral:lncRNA from 1 species
AGGACGCGAGGCGGAGGGACUCCUCUGCACAGUGCUGGUGUUUGCACACGGGUGGGAAUCUGGGGGCAACUCUGCUGCAUCCCCGCGAGAAGGCGGAGGUGGUUACUUUACACAUUAAACCUAUGAUUUGUGACCUGCCCAAGAGUGAUGAUUUUAGGGCAAGUUUAAAAAGUCCAGAGAGCUGGGCUGAGGCUCGAGGCAAGUCCUGAACAUGACGGGCUUGACCCCAGACCUGGCUAAUGGUGAGGACCCCAAUCCAGCUAGGUGCUAAUGAAUGGCAGCUCCCCCGAGACCCAGAGCCAGGCUGGGACAGCCCAAAGCUGGGGCUUAAUCACUUCCAGAUGUGCUUGGGGCUGCCUGCUCCCUCUCCACAGCCUGGUACUAAAUGUUUGAUCUACUAAUCACCAGCAAACAUGGGAAACACCUGAAAUGUCCUUAUGCAGUCAGCCCCCAGCACUUGUUGCAGGUAACUGCACAGCCUUCAGCAUUCGUUCUUGCAAGUGAAGCCACCUGAGGGGGCAAGGCUGCUAUGGAGCAGCUGCAGGCUACCUACCACUGCCUGUGGGACAUGGGAACCAUGGUGAAAUGCUCCCGCUUUAGGGCAUCCUGGGUCCUUUUUCAGUUUGGUUGAGAAGAAGGUGGUAGCAGCUUUUUAGACCUGCUAGAGAGAGAAGAACUGAUUCCUGUUUCCCACUGAGUGAGGAGCUUAUGCACUUGGAAAACUUCUCCAGCAUUGGAAAUGAGCCAUCGUGGACAGUAGCAGGGGAUUCUUCUGGAAGCCCUCCAGGCAUGGGCACAGGGUCCCAGCUGGCAGAGGUGGGGGGGAAUUGCACCACUAAUGAUUGCAGCACUGAAGUUCCCAGCACCUGGAGCCUACAGCCUCACUGUGAGGAGGAGGAGGAGGCACCGGACCCAUCCCCUGGCAAUGGGUGCCUGCCAAAAUCCCACCUGGCACAGGAACCAGAGCUGGAACACACAGGACUUAGGCUGGUUUUGGCUCCAGGUUCACGUUGGACCUUCUUCCCUGGUCCCCCCAGCCCAUCACACGCAACACAGCUCUGCGAGCACAAAGGUCUACGCUCAUUCCCCUGCCAACAUCACCGAGAGGAGCAGGAGGAGAGCAACAGCUCAGGUACUGGGAUGAGAAACAGGAAUUAUUUAACCUUCAACGAAGCUCAGUGA